rnacentral:piRNA from 1 species
UGCUUAAGAGCAGAGCCUUUGUGUGG